CAAAUUAGAGCUUGUUUAAGCAUUUUAUUUACAUUAAAAAGAAAUUUAUUAGUUUAAUUUAAUUUGA
rnacentral:tRNA from 1 species